rnacentral:tRNA from 1 species
AGAUACAAAACCCGGGAUCGAACCAGGGACCUUUAGGUAUUCAGUCUAACGCUUUCCUAACUGAGCUAUUUCGGC